rnacentral:rRNA from 1 species
CAGUCGCCGCGGGAAUACGGAGGGGGCUAGCGUUGUUCGGAAUUACUGGGCGUAAAGCGCACGUAGGCGGCUUGGUAAGUCAGAGGUGAAAGCCUGGAGCUCAACUCCAGAAUUGCCUUUAAGACUGCCGAGCUAGCAGGUGAGAGAGGUAAGUGGAAUUCCGAGUGUAGAGGUGAAAUUCGUAGAUAUUCGGAAGAACACCAGUGGCGAAGGCGGCUUACUGGCUCAUACUGGACGCUGAGGUGCGAAAGCGUGGGGAGCAAACAGGAUUAGAUACCCCUGUAGUCCCUGUCUCUUAUAC